rnacentral:lncRNA from 1 species
AGUUCCAGCCGUGACUGCCACUGAGGACGGCAGAGCAGCAUGGUACCAUCUGAUCCUAGAGACUGUCAUUCCCAUUUCACGCAAGAGGAAACUGAGGCACAGGUGUGUAGGUCACUUGCCCAGGGCUGAGAUGUGAACACACACUUGGGGUCUGUCUGACCCCAAAGCUCACACAAACCACCAUGCUCUGGAACGCCCGGGCUUCAUGUUGCCCCGUCCCCCACUUAGCUCUCUGCAGCCUCUAGGACCCCCAGGCGUGGCAGAUUCACAGCAGUGAGGCCUGGCACCUGCCCCCCCAACCCAUCCCGGCAGACCCAGGUGACGGGUGUAACCCUCAUGCACCUGUGAUCUGCUCUUGCCUCCCCCGGGGUUCCAACGCACAGGAGAGAGGAGCUGGCACACCCUGGCCACAUCUGGAAGGUGAACUCGUGCUCAGAGUGGCGAGUGGCAGGACAUGUGGGCCCUGAGGGAGUGGGCAGCCAGAGGGAACAUGCCCGGUGAGGGACGGCCUCGGGCCACUCUCGACUGGGACCCCUGGAUAAAGCCCCCAGGCCGGGAACUUCCUCUGCACGUGGCAGCCCCUCGACUUCCAGAGUGUGUCCUCAUGAGCCACCUCAUGUGAUCCCCACACCCACUGAGCUGGCACCCAAGGGCUAUGGGGGGCCAACCCUCUCUGGUGGAGAGGACAGUGGCCCUCGCUGGCUACACGUGUGGUGACAGGUGGGGCCUCGGGAUAAUCCCAGCCCAGACACUGGGGGAUCUAUGCUCUGGGCCCCCCUCUACCCACCUCAUUGGUUGUGGGACACUGGGGGACUGGGGAGGGGUGGGCAGAGAGACCGCCACUGCCCAAAAAAGCCCCCCAGUUCCGGAAAUCCAGGAACAAUGUGGGUGACAGGCAGCAGCUGUGGGAGCCCUGGGGCCCCGGCUUUGCUGCUCCGACUCUCCACCUCUCC